GUGUACCAGGCACUCUUCUAGGAAAUUAGAAAUCAUCAGUGAACAAAACAGACGAAAAUUCUGACCACCAGGAUGCUACAUUCUAGAGGGGAGAGACAAAGAAACGAAAUUGUGACUGUCACCAGGCAGACGAUUCUCGGUUAGCUGCUGAGUUGGUUGGUUUCGUCCACCUGCAGAUCUUGAGGAAAGGAGAUCCUUCCACUCCGCCUGGUGCCACCUGCAGCAUCUUCCAGGGACGUGGCGCAUCAGCAUUAGGGAAUCUCAGAGUCGGCGGGAUCCCAGGGAUGGCCUGUCCACCUCGGGCGAAGUGACCGCUCAAGGGCACACGCAUGGCCCUCGUGUCCGUCCCGGGGCCGGGGAAUCUCAUCCGCGGCACACAGCGCGUUCCUCCUCAUAAACGAUAAGAUAAUGGAUGAAAGAUGCAUAACCAGUUCACAGGUAUCCACGACAUCGGGAGAAAGUAAAGGACAUGGAUGUAUAUACUGAAGUCAGAUCUUGACUGCCUUACUUCAUUAAGUUAAUUUAACCUAACUGACACACCUUCUACCUCUAGAAGGUUCUACAUCGGGCUUGAGAAAGUCAGCACUCAGCCACCAGGUUUGCUGGCUAAAUGGUGCAUUUGGACAAUAGGAGGUCUGAGUGGGGGGCCCACACAGCCACUUGCACAUGUGAUGCACAAAAAGCAGGGAGAGGAAAGUGCAAACACCCGUUAGCACCUUGUUGCUUUAAUUAACUGACUUUCUAAGCCUGAAGGGUAAAGAUGUUAGUUUGCCAUCACGCCUCUGAUUUAUUCAUUUCCCAAUAGCGAAACCACAGCCUGAUGGGAAGCAGGUACAGUGUGACCUGUUAGAUGAUCAGCUUCUGCAGAAUAUCUUUUCCUGUUGCAUUGCCCAAAGGUAUGAUGCUUUUGGAAAUCUCCUUAAUUUGGAAUGUUAUUGCUGCCAUUUCAAAAGGGAGAGGGAAAACAAACGUUCCCUUUUUCAUUAGUUUUAAUGUCACUCCUCUAAAGUAGUGGUGUCAAAUAAUACACUUCUAAAAUUUAUUUCUGGGGAGCACUCCUUAUGAGGCCCUGAAAUUUCUGACUCGUCACCUAAAGAAAAUUGGCAUUUUCAGAGCUAGUCCAUGAUGGACCAGGAAGUUGGGAAUUUGCCCCAGGAGGGCUGUGCCGCGGUAAUUUGCACUAAAAUGAAAAUCUUCAUGUUUAUCACCUCCUUUCACCUAUAAAGCAACUCUGGGGCUUCCCUGGUGGCACCGUGGUUAAGAAUCCGUUUGCCAAUGUAGGGGACACAGG